GUUGACCUCGGAUCAGGUAGGGAUACCCGCUGAACUUAAGCAUAUCAAUAAGCGGAGGAAAAGAAACCAACAGGGAUUGCUCUAGUAACGGCGAGUGAAGCAGCAAUAGCUCAAAUUUGAAAUCUGGCGUCUUCGACGUCCGAGUUGUAAUUUGUAGAGGAUGCUUCUGAGUGGCCACCGACCUAAGUUCCUUGGAACAGGACGUCAUAGAGGGUGAGAAUCCCGUAUGCGG
rnacentral:rRNA from 1 species